rnacentral:rRNA from 1 species
CCGCGUGGAGGAUUAAGGCCCUCUGGGUUGUAAACUCCUUUUAUCUGGGAAGAAAUGUACUUUUCUUGAGUACUUGACGGUACCAGAGGAAUAAGCACCGGCUAACUCCGUGCCAGCAGCCGCGGUAAUACGGAGGGUGCAAGCGUUAUCCGGAUUCACUGGGUUUAAAGGGUGCGUAGGUGGGCAGGUAAGUCAGUGGUGAAAUCUCCGGGCUUAACCCGGAAACUGCCGUUGAUACUAUUUGUCUUGAAUAUUGUGGAGGUAAGCGGAAUAUGUCAUGUAGCGGUGAAAUGCUUAGAUAUGACAUAGAACACCAAUUGCGAAGGCAGCUUACUACACAAUGAUUGACGCUGAGGCACGAAAGCGUGGGGAUCAAACAGGAUUAGAUACCCUGGUAGUCCACGCCCAAAACGAUGAUUACUCGACAUACGCGAUACACUGUGUGUGUCUGAGCGAAAGCAUUAAGUAAUCCACCUGGGAAGUACGUUCGCAAGAAUG